GCCUGGCUGGCUCAGUUGGUGGAGCAUCUGACUCCUGAUCACAGGGUUGUGAGUUCCAGCCCCACACUGGGUG
rnacentral:tRNA from 1 species